rnacentral:rRNA from 1 species
CAGCCGCCGCGGUAAUACGAAGGGGGCUAGCGUUGCUCGGAAUUACUGGGCGUAAAGGGAGCGUAGGCGGACAUUUAAGUCAGGGGUGAAAUCCCGGGGCUCAACCUCGGAAUUGCCUUUGAUACUGGGUGUCUUGAGUAUGAGAGAGGUAUGUGGAACUCCGAGUGUAGAGGUGAAAUUCGUAGACAUUCGGAAGAACACCAGUGGCGAAGGCGACAUACUGGCUCAUUACUGACGCUGAGGCUCGAAAGCGUGGGGAGCAAACAGGAUUAGAUACCCCAGUAGUCCCUGUCUCUUAUAC